rnacentral:rRNA from 1 species
UACGUAGGGUGCGAGCGUUAAUCGGAAUUACUGGGCGUAAAGUGUGCGCAGGUGGCCGCGCAAGUCGAGUGUGAAAUCCCCGGGCUCAACUCGGGAACUGCGUCCGAUACUGGCGGGCUUGAAUCCGGGAGAGGGAUGCGGAAUUCCAGGUGUAGCGGUGAAAUGCGUAGAUAUCUGGAGGAACACCGGUGGCGAAGGCGGCAUCCUGGACCGGCAUUGACGCUGAGGCGCGAAAGCUAGGGGAGCAAACGGG